CGCUCAGGUCCUGAGCAAUGGAAGCUUGUGAAUCCCGUCAGAUCUGGAAGGAAGCAGCGGUAAGCAAUCCCUUCUGUGUGACUCAGGGAUGCCUUGGCUGAGC
rnacentral:SRP_RNA from 1 species